GUCAGAAUGGCCGAGUGGUCUAAGGCGCCAGACUCAAGUUCUGAUCCACGAAUGUGGGCGUGGGUUCGAAUCCCACUUCUGACA
rnacentral:tRNA from 1 species